GAUGAAGAAACGUAGCGAAAUGCGAUAAGUAAUGUGAAUUGCAGAAUUCAGUGAAUCAUCGAAUCUUUGAACGCACAUUGCGCCCGUCAGUAUUCUGGCGGGCAUGCCUGUUCGAGCGUCAUUACGCCCCUCAAGUCCCCUGUGGACUUGGUGUUGGGGAUCGGCGAGGCUGGUUUUCCAGCACAGCCGUCCCUUAAAUUAAUUGGCGGUCUCGCCGUGGCCCUCCUCUGCGCAGUAGUAAAACACUCGCAACAGGAGCCCGGCGCGGUCCACUGCCGUAAAACCCCCCAACUUUUUAUAGUUGACCUCGAAUCAGGUAGGACUACCCGCUGAACUUAAGCAUAUCAAUAAGCGGAGGA
rnacentral:misc_RNA from 1 species